rnacentral:rRNA from 1 species
ACGGGAGGCAGCAGCUAGGAAUAUUCCGCAAUGGACGAAAGUCUGACGGAGCGACGCUGCGUGGAUGAUGAAGGUCGAAAGAUUGUAAAAUCCUUUUAGGAGUGAAGAAUAAGCGGUGCAGGGAAUGGCAUCACGGUGACGGUAGCUCCUGAAUAAGCAACGGCUAACUACGUGCCAGCAGCCGCGGUAACACGUAAGUUGCGAGCGUUGUUCGGAAUUAUUGGGCGUAAAGGGUAUGUAGGCGGUCAUGAAAGUCUGUAGUGAAAUCCCUGGGCUUAACCCAGGAACUGCUAUGGAAACUGCAAGACUAGAAUUACUGAAGGGCAACUGGAAUUCCAAGUGUAGGGGUGAAAUCUGUAGAUAUUUGGAAGAACACCAAUGGCGAAGGCAAGUUGCUGGCAGAUAAUUGACGCUGAGGUGCGAAGGUGCGGGGAGCAAACAGGAUUAGAUACCCUGGUA